rnacentral:rRNA from 1 species
UGAGGAACAUGACCUUCGGCGGGGGAGUAGCCGGCCCAACGGCCGGGUAAUACCGCGUACGACCACAUGGGGACAUCCCUGAGUGGUGAAAGCAGCAAUGCGCCGAUGGAGUGCCUCGCGGCCUAUCAGCUAGUUGGUGAGGUAACGGCUCACCAAGGCAACGAUGCGUAGCCGACCUGAGAGGGUGAUCGGCCACAUUGGAACUGAGACACGGUCCAGACCUNUACGGGAGG